GUCAUCUGGUAUGGACUUUAAAGGGCAGUCUUCCCAACGCAACCGUAUUAACUCUUUGGGAAGAUGUUUGUAUUCUCCCUUGAGCUCUAUGCUGAUGCGGUCAAGGGAUAAACGAGUGAGAUUCUUCAAUCUUACUAUGGAAGGUGGUACUUCUCUUAUGUCUGUUUGCUUUGCUUCAAGUGUUCUCAGUGAUAUCAUCUCCCCUAUAUCCUCAUGCAGUUCUCUUAAUUGUUGACAGUAAUUAAGAAGAAGAGUCUCAACAGAUUUCAAUUUAUAGAAAUCCCUUGGAAGAGAAAUAAGCUUAUGACAGUGUCUAAGGUUCACCAAAGAAAGUCUUUUAAGAUGACCAAUGGAAGGUGGUACUUCUCUUAUGGCUGUUCGCUCAGCUUCAAGUGUUCUCAGUGAUAUCAUCUCCCCUAUAUCCUCAUGCAGUUCUAUGAAUUUUGAACACAUAUUAAGAAGAAGAGUCUCAACAGAUUUCAAUUUAUAGAAAUCCCUUGGAAGAGAAAUAAGCUUAUGACAGUCUCUAAG
rnacentral:lncRNA from 1 species